GUCUUGGAGUCCGUGCUACAGCUGGCUACAAAUCUGUAGCUCGCUGCUCUUCUCUCUCUUUAUCUCUUUAAAAUAUGUUUAUAGCUGGCCUAUAGUCUGCUAUUGUACCUGCUCUAAGCCGGCUAAAUGCUGAAGUGGAGGAGAGAGAGAAGAAGCGGGCCGUAAAAUUAUAGCCGGCUUAGACACAGAA
rnacentral:misc_RNA from 1 species